ACGCUCGACACCUACGGGAGGCAGCAGUAGGGAAUCUUCCACAAUGGGCGCAAGCCUGAUGGAGCAACACCGCGUGAGUGAAGAAGGGUUUCGGCUCGUAAAGCUCUGUUGUUGGAGAAGAACGUGCGUGAGAGUAACUGUUCACGCAGUGACGGUAUCCAACCAGAAAGUCACAGCUAACUACGUGCCAGAAGCCGCGGUAAUCUGAGCGGGCUGGCAAGGC
rnacentral:rRNA from 1 species